rnacentral:rRNA from 1 species
CAGCAGCCGCGGUAAUACCGGCGGCCCGAGUGGCGGCCACUAUUAUUGGGCUUAAAGCGUCCGUAGCCGGGGUGGGAAGUCCUCCGGGAAAUCUGGCCGCUUAACGGUCAGAAUGCCGGAGGAUACUCCCAGCCUAGGGAGCGGGAGAGGCCGAGGGUAUUCCCGGAGUAGGGGUGAAAUCCUAUAAUCCCGGGAGGACCACCUGUGGCGAAGGCGCUCGGCUGGAACGCGUCCGACGGUGAGGGACGAAGGCCAGGGGAGCAAACCGGAUUAGAUACCCGGGUAGUCCUGGCUGUAAACGAUGCGGACUUUGUGUCGGACAAGCUAUGAGCUUGUCCGGUGCCGGAGGGAAACCGUUAAGUCCGCCGCCUGGGGAGUACGGCCGCAAGGCUGAAACUUAAAGGAAUUGGCGGG